rnacentral:pre_miRNA from 1 species
AAAAAGGCAAACCCUAGGUUUCCAUGUCCAACUUUGACUGUUCGUCUUAUAUGAAAUUUUUUUAUAAUUCGUAUUUUCAUUGUUGUUAGAUGAUAAAACAUGAUUAAUAUUUUAUGCGUGACUUGUCUUUUAAUUUUUUUUUAUAAUUUUUUCAAAUAAGACGGACGGUCGAACGUUGGACACGGAAACCAGGGUU